rnacentral:rRNA from 1 species
UACGGAAGGCAGCAGUGGGGAAUAUUGCACAAUGGGCGAAAGCCUGAUGCAGCUAUGCCGCGUGUAUGAAGAAGGCCUUAGGGUUGUAAAGUACUUUCAUCGGGGAGGAAAAAACAAAACUAAUAAUUUUAUUUCUUGACGUUACCCGAAAAAGAAGCACCGGCUAACUCCGUGCCAGCAGCCGCGGUAAUACGGAGGGUGCUAGCGUUAAUCAGAAUUACUGGGCGUAAAGAGCACGUAGGUGGUUUUUUUAAAGUCAGAUGUGAAAUCCCUGGGCUUAACCUAGGAACUGCAUUUUGAAACUGAAAUACUAGAGUAUCGUAGAGGGAGGUAGAAUUCUAGGUGUAGCGGUGAAAUGCGUAGAUAUCUGGAGGAAUACCUGUGGCGAAAGCGGCCUCCUAAACGAAUACUGACACUGAGGUGCGAAAGCGUGGGGAGCAAACAGGAUUAGAUACC